ensembl:lncRNA
UACUUCUCACGGGUGUUGUGAAACUACUAUUUGCUUGGAAAACACUCUGAGAGCAGCCCGGGUGAAGGUGCCCGUGGCUCGGAUGACGCUGCUGUAUUCAGUCCAGGCCAGGGAGGGCCAGGCCAACUCGUCAUCCGGUGACCGCCUCAGCUGCCCGAGGGACAGGAGGGACGCCCGCCUCCGCUGUGUCGCCAGGCCCGGUGUCGCCAAGCCUGCUGGCUGUGCUGUGGUCCCAGAAUAUACCCACGAGCUUCUGCCUACACACACACCGGCGUCAUCUGGAGGUGUUAUCCCACGAGAGGCACCAAAGCACAUUUGCAACCGGAAAAGCGGUCAGUGGCCAGAGCAAGCCUAUCUGGGCCAUCAGACCCUCGUCCAUGUUCAAGGGAGAAGGAUGCUGAGCAAGACGAGGCAAGGAUCAAACCCAGACUCUCCACGUUGGGAGCACAGAGUCCCAGCCACCACCAGAGAAGGACCACCGGAGAAUCUCUUCAUGGGCACUUGAGGUACUGGCCCGGACCGCAGUUCUCGUGACGCCCCACCACGCCGGCAGACGCCCUAACACCACGUCUUUACGCCGUCACUGCACACCCAGAUGACGACUACCCGAGAGAUGGACAGCUGUCCCAGGUGACUCAAUCCGGUUCUUCCUCCCCAGAAUUUGAGAGUGGGUCAGACUGGGUCCAAGUCAGUCUCCCUUCAGAGCUGAAGUGGCCAACAGGGAAUGGGUGUCUGGGAUUAGGGGAGGAAGGAGCCCUGAGCAGCUUUCCACUCCCCAUGGGGUUCCCCCAACCCCCUCCCCCCAUGUCCCCCUUCAGUAAACAAUGUUGCCUGUUAAAAGCUGCCCUGUUCCCCUUCAGUAAAUGUCCCCUAUUAAAAGCUUUAAAAGCUCUAGACAGGAUCCUCUAAAAGCUUCUUCCUGUCUCUAAGAAAAAGCGAGAUCACCCAGCCCAGUG